UGGGAUCAGGGACGCUGUCUCUGUGUAUGUGGGUGCUCUGUCUUUCUCACCUUCUUUCUCGAUUUUGGCUAUUUAUUUCUCUGAGGGAGGGUUUUUUCCCACUUUAAUUUCUUUCCCCUAGUGUCAGCUGCUCAAGCCUGACCGGGGUAGAGAAGAGUGAACCAUCCCCUGCUUCCCACCUGACCUCCCAGCCUUUACCCUAUUUCCUUCUAGUGGACAGAUGACUGGUUCUCCAGGUUGUUUGGGUGUCAGCGUCCAUCUGUCUGUCCGUGCAGGUCUUACGUGGAAGGUAGGGGAGUGAGAAGUGCCGAAAAGACAGAGGGACAGUUUUUUCCCAGGGGUUGCCUUAUUGAAAGGUCUGGCCCUGGCAAUCUGAGGCUUGUGGGGAGCCGAGUGGCCAGGGUGGGGUGUGGGCUGGGAGAAGUGGGGUAAAGCUGGUAGGUUUGUCACUGCGUAGUUGGGAAAAGUGGGGAAUGGUGACGCAGUCACUGUUGCAUCUGGUUAGGAGCUCUUGGGGGACAGGUAGUGAGGCUCCUGUGGCCUCUGCGGCCAGCUGAGAGGGGUUAAGGAUGAGCUGAGAAGGGAAGCUAGCAUUUAGAGAUUAAAUGUCAUCCUUUUGGCGUUGGAAAGUUGUUUACCUUGCGCUCUCUGUGUCUCCAUGUUGGCUCCCUUCCAGUUCACAUGUGAUGGCCUUCCCUGUACUGCUGCAUCAUUAACUAAGUGACUGAGCUGGCCUUCCAUUGGCCAGGGGAGGGCUCUCCCUCCAGACACUUCCUCUGAUUGGUGGCUGGGCCAAUGGCAGGUGAAAAGCUUUUUGUGAUUGGCUCAGGGCAGGGUAUCAAAUCUGAAUUUGCAUUUCACUUGCUUAAAGGGGAGGGGGGAGAAGCCCAGCAGCUUUCUAAAAUCUCUUUAGGGGUGUGCGUAGGCUCCUGUGUCUAUGCCUGCUUUUGACUGCCCAGUUGAAGCCUCUUCCUAUGCCUUUUAAAAUUUCAUGCACUAUAAGGAAGAAGAGCUCAGGGCUCUCAAAACUUUAUUUAGAGGGAAGAAUGCUAGGGAGAUGGGUGUGCAGAGGGUUGACCAAAUUGGAAGAAAAUAUUUAUCCUGUAGUUUGAUGUUGAAAAAGGAAAUUUUCCAAUCAGCCACACCUCAGUGUUGCGGCAAAAUAAUUCUCGGCUCCCCUGGAAACGCAUGGGCAAGGUAGGGCAGAGCUGCUGCUGCUGAUAUUACCACCACCCUGGGCUUCCUGCUGACUCUGGGCUACUCCCUGGGGACAAGAGAUUUGCAUUGACGUCCGGGGCUGUCCAGAGGCCCAUAGGAGCCAGUUGUGAGCUGAGCCCAGUAUGGGAAAGAUGUACCUUCUGGAAGCUACUACUACUUGGUGCUUGGAAAGGUGAGGAUGGGGGACUGACCCCAGGAAAUUGCUUGGAAACUGCGUAUUUGGUGGGAUUUCCAGAAAAGUCAGUGGGAGAUGGGUGGUUUGGAUGCCCCGGGCUAGAAAGGUUUGUCAGUCUAGGGAAUGAGGAGAGUCAGAGUAAAACUAGGGCAGCAGGCUGUUCACCUUUGGUUGGGGGAGGGAGGCCUCAAAAAAUCAGGGUCCCUGCUCUCUAACCUGUCCUUGUUGCAGGUCUCACGUUUGUGGGGAGGGGGUUUACCAAGUGCUGCGCCAUGCGCAGUGGCCCCCACCCAUGACUGCGCAUCUGGGAGCGCAGUGCGCCCUGGGUCUCUGGCCUAGGACGAGCACCGCCCUUCUUAUUACAUAACUUGAGGGCAUGGCACGCGCCUUCUCGGCCCUUCCUUGCAACCCUACCUUCUCACUCCCCAGGGCCCACAAAGCUGGGGAGGGUCUGACUGGGGAGCGGUGGAGGAUUGCAAUCCCUGGGAGGGCUAACUCAUGUCCAGUUAGUGUGAGGAGCUAAGUUUGAGGACAGAAGUGGUUUUCUAGCCCCAUCUUGGUGAAGGGGCUGUAGAACAUCCUCUUCUGAGUACCCCAUAUACCACCUCUGGGCCCUAGGGCCUCUCUGGUGGAGAGGGUGGCACCCUUCUUUCACUCAUGUCCCAUCUGAUUUUUGAGAGGAUGUUUCUGAAGGAAAAGAUGUGAUGAUUAUGGGAGGGCUUGGUUGGGAGGCAGUUUUGACAGUUUACGCCCCUUGUCACUGGCUUCCCCUCCUUUUCCUGAGUGCGUUUAUCAUCUUUCUGGACUCCUCUGAUGAGCUGCCAUUUUGGAGCCAUUUCUGCUGGUCUCCGACAUGGUGGCGUUGGUUUUUCUGUCCUGCUGUGCCAGUUCCGCAGAGUGGGCGGGGGGCGGGGGCUAUGACGGAGGAGGGGAAGGGGGGGCAAAAGCACAGCAGAGGCGGGCGCAGUGGUGGCUGCCGCAGUGAAGGUGGCUCCAGGGGCAGAGCCGCCCAGUCCCACUCUUGGACACAGUCCUGGGUGGGGAUUCAGGUGGAAGGUGUCUGGGUAGGGGCUCACUAUUUGGGCCCGGCUUUGCCAGAAUGUGGGUUUCCCACGUCCACAUCAGCCUGAGGCUUUGAGUAGUUAGGAAAAGCUGAGUGUCUGGGUGAGAGUGGAGGCAGAGGCUCGGCAGCUCAUCUCAGACGUGUCAGACCCGUGGUUUGUGUUCCCCAAAUAGGCUCUGUCUCCAGCAGCCUCCCCGUGGGGACAGGGAAGUAAGGUCCAUGGCAGCAUUGAGGAUCUGUUCAGAUGGUCCUGCCUGCUUACUGUUUUUCUUCUCUGUUUCUCCUCCAUGCCUCCUGUCAGUGCCAUGGUUCCAGCUGUAGUCCUCUUGUGAGGCUCCUGCCCAUUCCCCCUCUCUCCAGGCCCUUCUGCGUGCAGCGGCCAUCUUGUCUUUCUUGCUCAGAAAGUUAAAAUGGUUUCUCAUCAUUCCCAGAGUAAAAUUCCUUUCCUUUAGCGUGAUGUUCAAUGCUAUCCGUAACUGGCCUUAGCUUUCCUGUACAGUCUUACCUCUCUCAGUUUCUCUUGGUGGACCACAGUUUCCAACAAAACCAAGCAACUUCCUUUUUCUUGCUUUUCCUAUGUGUUUUCACCAAUGAUGUUUUCCACGCCUCCUCUCCUCUUCGUCCACCUGUGGCAGUCUCACUUUCUCCAUGGACCUCUCCUGAUUGCCUUUGCAAGCAGCAGUUCUCAUAACCACCCCCGCCCAUUCGGCCGAACUUGCACACGGUCUGUCCCUUUUUAUGGUAUUCUUGUUAUGAUUCUUUGUGUAUAAAUCUUAUGUCACCUAUUAGAUUAGGAGCUCUAGGAGGGAGGCUAGAGAAAGGAGAGGGAAAACAAAUACCCAUUUGGUACCUUCUGUUUGACAGAUACCAUGUUAGACACUUUUCCUGCAGUUAUUUCAUUUAUUCCUUUCCAUAGCCCUGUGCGGAGCAUCCCUGGUCUUCCAACGUCUUUACAUUUUUCUUCCCCGAACUCUUUACAAGAUGCCUGUUAUGAAGUAGAUCCCCAAAAUUUGUCUAUUUAAGGAAUUUUUUAAGUCCCUAAUGCUCUGUGGGAGUUUGGGUGGUCAAUCUUGUGUCCAUGGUCUAGGUCACCUAGCUGUUCCUUGACACUGUCAUUAACUUUCUCCUCUUCCUUUGUGGUCAGGUUCACUCAAGAUGAUGGCGUUUUCUGUUUGUUUGUUUUUUGUUUUUUUGUAGCUGAAAUUGAUGGGUUAACUGACUCAGUUAUCCUGGUUGCCUUCCUCCUACAAGAAGGUGGAGUGGGGUAUAGCAACUUCAAAGCCAGAAUAAGCUCCAGAAUUAGAGAGCAGGGAGCAGAGACACUGGACUUGGAUAGACCUAGGUUUUCAUUGUCAUCCUGCCUCUUCUUAGCUGGGUCACUUUAGACAGGUCAUAUGAUUUCUCUAAGUUUUCGUGUCCUCGGUCAGUGAGUUGGAGCCAGUACAAUUGUUACACAGAAAUGCCUAAUAUAUUGGCAGCAAAUAGGUUCCCAUCCCUGCCUAGUGGUUUAUCAGGGACUUCAUAGGGGAGUGUUGGGGGGCUAGACAAGAAAUGGGGGAGAUGGGAGCUCCUGUGCCCUAAGUGGUGUCACAGAAAGGGCAGGGAGGAGGUAACAAGCAUUACGCACCUCAACCCUGCAAGGCGGUGCUGUCUCCCACCUGGCGUAAAUACCCCUUUACUUCUGCAUCGGGAACAUGCUGUGGGCACAGAGUUGUGGGGGUUGGUGUCGGCAGAGGGAGGGUCAGUGAGCCUUCCUGGGAGUCUUCUCGUGGCAGGUUAGUUUCCCUUCUUUCCGAAUCUCAGCAGUGGCUGCCUGCUUCCUGAUGCUGCCGAGUCCCGUGGGAGGGGAGUUGGGCACCCUGAAGCCCCUCGUCACCAAUUCGGGGGCCGCGGAGCAGAGUGACGACAGCCAGUGAGUCGUCAGUCGACGGCAAUGGGGACCCUGGUGACGGCUGCUUUGUUGUUUUUUUUCCUCUUUGGAAGAUGACUCAGUGUAUCGGGAGCCGGGAGAUGGAGCUCUCAGCAGAGUGGCCAGGAUGUUCUGUCAACAUGAAAGCUGCAAAAACAGCUUGGGGCUCUGGGCUGAUCCUUAGCCUGGGGUCAUUUUCAGGGAGGACUGGACAGCGAAGGCACCCGCUGCCCGGGCAGCAGGAUGGGGCGACACCAGAGGACUCAGGAGAAUGCAGCUUGCUUUGUGAGUGGGUGACAACCUCUUGGCGACUCAGGCUCAGCUGAGGAUGGUGCCAGUGUGCCGGAGACAGCCGUCAUACUGCCGGAUAGAGUGGCUCACUUGCAUGUAUUUGGAACAAAAAAAGGAGAUGCCUGGCAGCCCCACACUCUGCAGUGCUGUUGAGCCACCAAUUUUUAUGAUUUUGUGACCACAAGUGUGCUGAGUGUUGUGACAUGACCCCAGUCUUCUCAGUGAAUCAUCACCAAGUUGCUUAUUGGAAACCAGAUGCAGCAAGCAAAUAGGAUUUAACCACUCCACUACCUGCCUCCCAGGUAAGUCCAGCAUGGGCUGCUCCCUCUAGCCUUCCCCCAGCCUCAUUCCUUCCCAUGAACACCAUUUUUCUUAUUCCGCGGGGGAACCUCAGACAACUCCAUUCAGAAUCUCCCAAACAAUUGUUCUCUUUUUUGCAUUCUCCUUUUGCUUCUGGCUUUUCUGUGAAUGGGGUUAGUAAUGAGCACAGGAAUGGGGGCAGGAUGGGCAGCUGAAGUGGUCGGGCUGUGCGGAUGUGUGGGAGAUGGCUGGGAGCAUUGCUAGGUGUGGCAGUUGGCAGAGCAUUUGGGCCUCCCACAGUAAGUGAAUAGAAGCUCUCCUUAGCUCCAGCAUCCAGCAGGAGGUUCUGGAUUUAACCCCUCGGUAAUCCUGGGAGCCUUCCUGGGGCCUGGAGAUUCUCUUCCCUGUGUAGUCUCAGUGGAUGGCCUGUCUCACUCCAGAUACAUUUUGCCUUGAUCGGGCUUAGUCUAGGUUGGUGGUCUGGAGUUUGAACUGGGCUAAGCAGUGAGCUUUAGGUCUCUUUCCCUACUUUGGGGGCUUCUUUCAAUGAGCCACUUUCUGCCUCUAGGACUUCAUUACCUUUGCCUUAAAAAACAAAAUCCCUGAUCCAGUAAGCCAUUGCAAAGCAUUUCUAGACAGUUGACAAAUGCUUUUUGUCUGCCUCACUUGUUGCUGGUCACAAUAAUAGCAAUGGUGAUUAAAAAUGAAAAACGAUGAUGGCCUGCAGAAUGGGGGAGGUCAGUUGCAUCAUUGAUACAAUUCACAAAGCAGACUCCUGGUGCCUGCCCAUCACCAGGAAGUCUCUCUCCUGCUGAGUAGAUGACUACAGCGUUCUUGGCCAGUAGAGCCAGCUGGAACUAGCCAACAGCAGAUUGGUCUGAGCUCUAAAGAGAAAAAGAAUGAUGUUGGGUAAUUUUCGGAGGCACCUAUGGGAUCCUACCUCUGGCCACACAGUGGUCACCUCUCUCUGCUCAUAUGUCACAGUCGGGGUGGAAGUUUCUCUUCCCCAUGCUGCUCCCGUCGCUAUCCAGGGAAGACUGGCCAAUUCUGCUUCCUGUUAUUUUUAUCUUCUUCUCUAUCCAUUUGAGAUGAGUCUCUAGGUUGGCUGUGAGCAGCCUGAGGGAUCCAGGGCUAUUUGGAAGAGUCUGAUGUCUCUUCCUUUAAGGGCUCUGACAGGUCUCAGCCCUCCAGCAGUACUGCAGUGAGGGAUGGCAGUGGGUGUUAGAAUGGAGAGAUAUCAACUUGGGUGCAGCUGGGGAGACUUAAGAGGAGUGAGCCAAGGCCCUCAAGGAGUAUUGGCUAGAGUCUGGCCAGUGCUGGCUGUAGGGCCGGAGCCAGAUGUAGCUGCUGGCUGUGCUUGGGAGUCUCAGCCCUCACAUGUGCAGUGCGUCCCUGGGCAUAGCUCUUGGUGACCCCCACUCCCAUGAAUAGCCCUGUCCUUGGUUAGAUUGGGAAAACCAGGGUGGGAAGUAAAGGGGAGGUUGGUUUUGCUCCUGGCCAUGCAGUUGUCUCUGUGGCCUCUGAUGUUUCCAGAAUUGGGAUUGGUGUUUCCCUCCUGAUUUUCCUAUUUUUGUGCCUCAUCUGGUUCUGUUCUCCUUGCUCACCAGCCUGGGUUCUAUAGACACGACGUGGGGUAUUGUGUGUUGCCAAUGAGGCUAGCAGAACAGUUGGUAUCCCCUCAGAGAGGGGCCAACGUAUCUGGCACUUUUUUCCUUACCUUUGAAUUUCUGAGGUCUGGGAGCCAGGAGGCAGCAUGGGGCCUCUCCAUCCCGGAUCCAGCAGAGGUUAACAGAGCUGGUGGCUCUGGAGCCGAGGUGGUGUGGCUUGGCUGGGAGUUGUGGGGGAGAGGCCCUGCCAGGGGCCCUGAUUGGUCAGCACCUUCUCUAUUCCAUUGAAUCCUGGUCCGAUCAGUGCUGUGAAUUGUUUAAUGCAUAUCUUGGCACUGUCCCCUGGCUUGAGUGUCCCUGAGGUUGCAGCCACAGCUUUAAAGAGGAUCUGUACCUUGUGCUGGUCACUUUUUUGGGCAUGUUGCCUCCCUCUGAGAUAUGUAAGAGAUACCGCCCUUUCCCACCAGCCGGCUGUCUGUGGGAGGCCCUCAUUUUGCUUUGCUUUUCUGAGACUUGGAGUGACUGUGAGGGAAGCAUAGACUGAGUUUGCUUUCUUACUGGCUCCUUCCACAAGAGCUUCUCAUGGGCUGAUAAAGCCAGAGAACAUCUCCAGUGCCCCAUGGCCUAUGCAGAGCCCAGUGCCAUAGUGUCAAGCCCGUGGGGGUGGAGUGGGGACAUGGGGGCAGAUAGAGCCACGUGGGGAGGAGAUAUACGUGGUUAGCUCACAGGAGCGAGCCCAAGAGGGUGUGGGAGGACAAGCCCAGUGCUUAGCCGGGACUGCCUGUCGUGGCCCAGGAUGGAUGUGUGCAUCUCCUGUGAAGGAUCUGCAUCUGAGUGCCAGGUGCUGAAGGCAGGAUGGUGCCCUGAUCAGGGUCUGUAAUGAGGCCUGAAGGUAUGAGAUGGACAUCAGAGUUGUUGGUCCCUAACGGGAAACUGACCUUUUUUAAGGGCCCUCCUAUCCUUAUCUGAUCUCAUCCUCAGAACAAUCAUAUGACGUAGGAGUCACUUCCCUUUUAUGGUUAAAGAAACUGAUUAUUAAGUGACUUAACCCAAGGUUAUGCAUUUGGUAAGUGAGGUUGUUGAGAUUUAAAUCCAUGUACUACUUAUUCCAAAGCCUCUACUUUCUCUUUACUCUUUUGGGCUGAAGUCAGACAUUUUUUGUGAACUAAAAUCUUCAGAGGACUGAUGUGAACCAGAGUGAAAGGCAGACACCCAGAGGAACUUGCCAGUCACUGGGGAUGGUUGUGCCGCAUUUCUUUUGGGGUGGGCAGGGCAGAUGCAAAUGUCCUUUGGUAGCCAUGGACUGGCAGAGCUGAGCAAGGCCAGUACAUGGCAUCCGCUGCUGUGUACGGAGCCUCUGCUUUAUGCCAGGGACUGUGCUAGGUGAUAGAGAUGCAGAACUCAACAAAGCCAAGUUUCCACUGUCGUGGGGCAUACGUUCUAGUGUGAGGAGACACUAUUAAUAGUGAUUUUUAAAAAGAAUUCAGAAACGUACAGGAUAGACAUAUAUGGAGAUUGGGGAUGAAAAGGGGGACUCCCCCCACACACAUGAGGAGGAGGGUCCAGAUGAUGGUCAGAGGGAUCUAGAGAUUCAGGACUUCAGCCACCUGAAGCCACAUCAGUUAUGCUUUCCUCCAGAGAGUUAGGACUAACACAGACUAACCCUCUCUUUUUUCCUAAUAACUAGGAAAAUCUGUCCAGGGUCCCCAUAAUAGCUUACAGGAGCUUGUCGUGAGUCAGGAAUCAAGGUGGAGUACCUGUCAAACCUUUGGUCUUCAGCAGUCUGGUUUUCUCCCAUCUGCCACGGUUGCCCUUGGCCUUCUGCCUCACGCCCUCCCGCCUCAUGCCGUCCCAGGCACCAGCUGAUUUCUUUCCUCAGCCUGGUCACUGUACCCUAUUCUUGUCCAUGCAGCACAGGGAAAUGUGCAGGUUAGGUCUUUGCCAAGCCACUGGUCAAACGUUCCUGUAGGUGGUUCUGAGCUUAGCCUGUCCUGUCAGAAUGAGCCAUUCCCAGAGCUAAUGAUCAUGCAAUAGGGAAGGGUUGGGCAGCAGGCAGAGAAGUGGCCUGUGCCGGAUGCUUGGUUGAGCUCUGUGUCUUGAGAGGUGGAGGCAGGUUGGUGGUGCUGGGACAGGGCAGGCAUGUGUCAUGUGUUCAGCGCAUGGGCUCCAGGGCUCGGGACUUGUUUACUUGGUGGAAGAGGCGGUGGCCCUGUGGAGUCAGGCCAUGUGAUUCUUUGCUCCUUGGCUGAUCGUGGACAGCUGACCCACCGGGACUGCCCACACUGCCAUCUGCUGCCAGGGGUCUGAAGUUGCACAGGAAUGAGGUAGUAUAGUUAGGGGUGCUCAGAGAGGAAGAGGGUCAGGAAAGUGGGGUUUAUGUUGCUCUGUGUUAAGGAGUCAGUAGACCUCGAUUCUUGUCCUAGCUCACUUUCCUCCUUUGAGCUCCAGUUUCAUUAUGUAUGAAAUGAGGCAAUGGAACCAGAAUCUCUUUGGAGGUUCCAGCUAUAUCCUGGGGCCUCCCUGGAUGUUCAUGGAAAUGUUUCUUAGCCAACAAUUCAGGAUGAGGAAAACUAGGCCCAGGUUUCCACAAGAGAAGGCAGGGGAUCUUGAUGACCUAUCUCAGAGCAGCUGAAGAGGCACUGUGGGAAUUAGCAUGGGUAGGUGGGUGGAAGAAGGUAGUUUUUGAAGAAUCUCCCAGAAGUGGAAGCAGAGAGCUGGAGGUUUCGCGAAGGUGUUGAUGAAGAUCCACCAGGUGGCAAGGGACAUGGCUGUGGGCUUUCCCUGGGAGGCUUGUUGGGGAUGGGGCAUGUGGGAGCUGCUGGGGCCUCUUGCCGUCCUGCAGGGGGCUAACCCAAGAGACCCUGCUCUAGAAAAGAAGCUCCGUCCCGUCUGGCUCUAACCCUGGAGAGAAUGCUGCUGUGCAGAUUGAGGAAGGGCAUCUGUUAGAGGGUCUGUGCCCCUUGCUGUCAGGAAGUUUUCCUUUAUAUUUAGCCUUUUCUUUUCACGUGUUUUUUGAGGCCCUCAACUAAAGUAUUAAAUUUUAAAAAUGACAAUGACAAAAGAAAAAAAACAAAAAUAUCUCAGUCACUGGUUCCAUUUUGGCUUUUUAGUCUUGAGUCACUCUUAAAAAGAUAGCAAAAUAAAACACAUGUGGGAAAGCCCAAGGUCCCAGGCCCAGCCAGACUGGGGCUAGGAGUGGGUGGGACUCUGUCCUAGCUUCCCCAUGGCAGUGUUAGUUCCAGACGUCCACCACUGCUCCAAGGCUGUGUGGGUAGGAGCCCCUAGGGCUGAGGGGGCACAUUGUGCAAUCUGCUAAGCAGAAUAUAGAGUUUUAAAAUAGCUGCAUUUCUCUAAGACACUAUCUGCUUGCCACUUUGUGGGAUGUUUACCUGGGAUUAAUAAUAGCUGAGUGCCACCCCACUGCCAGUAUGGAAUAGCAAACAGCCAUCUGGGCUGGGACUCAGGCAGGAGAGGAAUGGAGUCAUAACCAUCAUAUCAGCUCACGUAAUUCUUUUCACACUUGCUGGCUCAUUUGGUCCUCAUACAACCCUGAGAGGUUAGGUGGUCUUAUCCUUGUCGUUGGUGAAACUGAGCCAGAGAAUCAGUUCUGCCAAGAUCUAACUGCUUGCAGCUGUUUCUCGUGGAUCUCCCACCCAGGUCUUCUGACUUCAGCUGUCAUUUCCCUGGGUUCUGAUUAGUGGAGCAGGGAUAGGAAUAGGGGAAUGGAGUCUUCAGCAGUUUCCUUAAUUUCUGAAGGCCUUAGAGGGCCUUUCUAUAUGUUGACAGGGAAACUAAAUAUCAGCAUGUCCAGGUCUCCAACUCUUUGAUUCUUUAGACUUUUUGGAGUUCUUGUGAGAACUGGCUUGCACUUCUUGGCUGGGAAGCCAGCCACUCACCAUGUAUUCUUGGAGAGGUUUCCUGAAUUUGGAAGCUUCUGGAAUAUGUGAUGCAUCAAACCACUGUGACAUAUCUGUAUGGCACCUCACGCCUGUGCACAUAGGCAUGCUUCUGCUGAGUCCAGCUCACUUAGAGAUGAGGCCUAGUGUGGGGUCUUUGAGAUUUUUCCAACACAUUUGUAAGGGAUGCCCUGAGCCUUGCCCAGCAUGCAUGUUGUGUGUAUGCUACCUGUUUGUUGACUAAUGUACAGUACCUGCUGGAAGCCUUGGCUAAUGUACAAUGUAAGUAAGGGACUAGAAACAGUGGCUUCAGCUCUGAGAGUCUGCCUCAUGAUUGGCUUGAAAAUGCAUGGCUUACCCACAGAGAGAAAGGUGGGUAAGCCCUACUGACUCAUGGGUGUCAGUUUUCCUUAAAGGCAGAGCAUAACUCCCACUCUUUAUAAGGGCUGCUGAGGCAGAGUACUAGACAGCAGGACUUCUUGGCCAGUUAGCCCUCUGAGUGACCUUUAUUUGAAUAGACCCAGAACUCGUAUGAAGGUGGAAAUAAUGGUUUAUCUUUAUUUACAGCUAAUUUAGCCACGAUGGUUUAGGCUUUUUGGGGGGGUAUUCCUUUAGGACGAUGGAGGCUGGACAAGGGCAGUGUACGUGUGUGUGUCUGAAUGUCUGUCCUUUUGUAUUUCCUGAAUGCAUUUUUGGUUCCUACAGAAGUGUUGGGGAAUCCACAGCAGAAUUGUUUUAGUGAGUGAAGGUUUCUGUAGCUUCAUGUGUGAAGAUUUGUCAUGUUGGACCCAGUUCAUUCUGUUCACCUGAAGGAUGGAAAAGAGAAUGGGCAUAACUUACAGCAAGGAGGGUGAUUUGGGCUGGACUUCUGGGAGAACUGUGCAUCACUUCUGCUGAGGGUUCCUGAGGAAACAUGAAGCCUCUUUAUUUGAGGUAGGAGACUAGGUGUGCUCCACAGGAUCCUCCCAGUCCUGAGUCCGUGGCACUUCGAGAUGGUCCCUGGAUCAGCAUGAGGUGUGGGUGCCAGGAUCUAGAGCAGGCAUCUCUCUCCAUUUUUGCCUUCCGCCUUCAAGGCAAGCCCAAGCUGGGUGGAAUUGAGGAGAUGCAUGGGCAGGCUGCACCAAUAUGGUCACUGAAUCUGGAACUUUGACCUCGUUUCCCUUUGCAGAGAGAACUUCUGGUACCGAUCUUAUAGGAACUGGUAUUAUUUGCAUAUAAAAAAAGAGAAAGGCACGUUGUCCCUCAUCUUUUCCAGCAAAGAGCCCUGAGCUGCUCUAAUCCUAUAGUAGAGAGGGAAGAGGGAAGUGUAGAGGACACAGGGCCAGACAUGGUUUGCCGGGAAGAAGGUAGGAGGUGGGAGAGGAACAUCUCAGGGCAGGCCCUCAACUCUGGGAGCCACAGGCAUGUGCCUGCUAUACUAAAGGCACAGGGAUGUGUUCAAGUGGGCAUACUAUUUAGAGGUAAUCCAGAGUCUGAAAUAAAUCAGUUAAUGGCUAAAUGAGAGUUGUAUUAAAUAUGGAAAAUCAUAUAUUCUUUUGUGUCAUCACCACCUACAGAUUUAGCAUCAAAAGGCCUGACAGGCUGAGGGCAGUGAAAUGGGUCCUGUCCAUAAGAUGAUGCUUAUUUGUAGUGACUUUUUUCUCUUUUCGUUUCUAUUUCCCACUCUUUCUUAUUGCUUAGGUCUACGUGAAUAUUUAUGCAGUUGUGUUGUUAUUUCCUUGGGGUACCAUUCUUCCAGUGUCAUUGGCAUCAAUGAAUGUGUGACUUUGAUUUCAAGUGUAAACAAACCACUGGCUCACGCAGGGAUGAGCCAUCUCUAAGACAAGGGCCCCGGCAGCUGCCUGGAGACGCCCUUCCCCCAUAGACCUGGACUGUUUCUCAGCCAGAUGCCUGAGAUGAGAGUCUAGGAUGUCCUUGCAGGGACCUGCUCAACCCCACAUCAUGUGUCCUGCUGGGAGGGGUGGUGCUCACACAUGCAUCUUCCAACCUUAUUAGCUGGUACUGCUUUUCAGCUUGACCCAAGGAGUGGUGUUGGAAGUGUGAGACUGUUCAUCCCCUGCUAGGUAAGAAGGGUGUCAGAGAGGAGAGGCAUCGACAGAGAAGAAGGGAACACAGGCUUCUGCCUGCUAGCCUGUCUCCAAGACAGGUUAACUUUGUGUUAAGAAGCAAACUCUUUUAAUCUUUUGGCCCUAAUAGAAGUUAUUUGUAUUUUCUCUCCUUCUCUCUUUUCCCUCCUCUCUCUCACUCCCUCUCCCUCAACUCCCCAGCCUCCAAAGAAUUUAAUCUGCUGGACAACAAACAAUACUGUUAUAAAACUUUGAAAACAAGAGGGCGCGGCCUCCCUGACAAGGAGAAGGGCAUGCCGGGUAAUGGCCUGAGGGAGCAUGCCAGGCCUGAGAUGGAGCCGGGCGAGAGCCCAGUUGGCUGGGUACCUGGGUGCCUGCCCCUGCAUAGCCCACUAGCCGCGCCAUCCCCAGGCCAGAGGGGAAGGAACUGAAACAAAAGCGAGGGCAGAGAAGAGCUUGAAAGGGGAAGUUGUACGUGUUCCCUUCUCUGUGAUCUGAUGGGAAUGCAGUAGACUGUGAAACUUCCUCCUCCACCUCUUCUCCCUCGCCCCUCCCACCCUCCUUUCUCCUCCCUCCUCUCUCCUCCUUCCUCCCUCGUUUGUCCUCCCUCCUCCUCCUCCCUUCUCUUGCCACUCACUGUUCUUGAGCCCAGCAGACAGAGGUCCUGAUAACAGAAUGAGGCUGGAAUAGCACUGUAGGUGCAGCUACCAGCUGGGCCAAUCAAAGUGGAAGGAGAGAAAGUGGGCUCACAGUUGGCUUUGGACUCAGACCAACCCUCUGUCCGGUCCAGCCUCCCUCCCUUCUGUUAGGGAAUUGGAACCACAUCACAUCACAGGGUGUGCCCAGUCGAUGUGUGUGGACCAGGUGAGUGCCCAGGUACUGGGGAGAACUGCCACUUGGAGGUUAGUUCAGGAAGCACCCUGGGCUUCCUGGUGCCCACCUUGGACUGUGCUCUGUGGAGGGUGUUUGAUGUGUUGAAAUGCUCUGUCCUUUGAGAUGCUGUGCUCUCCCUCCAGGGAGGAGCAGAGGCUGUGCUGCAGAGGCUGGGGCAUGCCUCUGGAAGAGCUCUUGGGAACAGGAACAUGCUUCUCCCGGCGAGAGCAGGCAUGCCGUCUUGUGAGUGUGGUGCCUGGUAGGAUACUGCAUCUGUUAGUUACUUCUCUGUAGCUGAAGGAGGAGGUCAUCCAGCUCUGCCUGGGGGAGAUGGGGAAGCUGGGCUUUGGGGCGUCUCACCAUAGUUUCAGUUUCACCUGAAACUAUGCACUUUUUAGUCCAUUUCCACUGGGUCAAGCAGAUGAUUUAGGAAUGACCAGGAAGCAGUGUUGGUGGUUUGCCUUUGGAUCUGCAUUGGUUUGGACCCAUGAACUGUCUGGUGGGCAUUGUGUUUGUGUAAUAGACCAUUGGCAUAAUUUUUCCUCUUGCAGAAAGCACUAGCUUCCUUGAAAGCAGUUCAGCCAUGCCCAUCUUCCUCUGCCAGAGCUAAGCCCUUCUACUGGGGGAACAUGGAGACACCCGGGCUCCAGUCUUCAUUCCAUUCCUCUUCCUUCCCUUUGCCUUCCACUAUCUCUUCCUGUCCCCCUAGCUCAUCCCAGGGGCAGGGUAGCCUUGGUGCAACCUUCCAUCCAGCCAGCAGUCCCGACCCAGGACCCCUGUGCUGGGACUGAGGCUGGGUUUUUUGUCAGUAGUGUUAAGGGGGGGACAGAAAACUGAACUUUUAGGAGUGUGGCUGCCUAGGAACCUAGAUCUCCAUACCUCUGACACAGGGGAAGCCAGAAGAACUGAUGCUGGGUCCACGUAGGCUUAGAAGCCUGUUACUUAUUGCCUUGUUACGUGAGUAGCAAUUUGAGGGGCACUGUGGGUUUGGAGGAUGUGAUUCCCACACUGGGACUCAGGGCCUGGGAAAUGCAGUGGUCCCUGGGUUCUGAGUCCUCCUUUGAAGGCCAACCUGCCAGGAAGGAAGAGCCUGAUGGAGGUUUCUGGGGACUUUGGGCCAGCUAGUAACUCCAUGCUCCCUCCCCUCCACCCUUGGCCCCUCAUGCAUAUACUCUUCCUUUUAUCACCCUUCCCUCUGAUUCAUUAACCACAGCCCCUGUCCUGAUAGCUAAAGACACAAUGUCCAGGCUGCUGCCUAGAAUGACAGGAAGCUGGGCUGGCCUUUCAAUUUAUACAUGCAAUGGCCUGGGACUGUCUGGAAGGCAAGACAUUCUCCUUUUUCAAAAGAGCCUUCCCCAGACCCCUCUCUCACCAAGAUGAGCUCUUCCUCACUGCCAGGAUCCCUGAAAUCAGCAUUCCCAGAGGGAAGAAGAUGGCCAUCUGGGCUUGGCUUCCGGCUCCCCCCAUCUGGCUGGAACACACAUCAGUCACGUAAGUAGCUAUGACUCAGCACCCAGCGCUGCCUUGGCAGAACCUCCCCACUUUCUGGAUUUGCACACACUGGUAGCACAGCACAAGCCAGCAGGGUUAGGCAUCUGGGGGCCAGGGUCUGUCUGUUCAGUGGCUUUGCUUACGGAUUUCAUAAACAAGGAUUCCCUCACCUUCCCAUUUUCCUCCCAUGUUAUUUUUUAGGUAUGAUGCUAGGCUUUAAAGACAAAGCGUCAUUUAUAGAAUGAAGUAGAAGCUAUCUUUGCAAUCUCCAAACUGUUUUAACCAACAGCUAUAGAUUACAUUUGACCCUUUGAUGUGUUUGGCCUGCACUAGUUUUUGUUUUUGUUUUGAGACAGGUUUGUACUCUGUAGCCCAGGCUGGAGUGCAGUGGCACGGUAUCAGCCAACCUCUGCUUCCCGGGCUCAAGCAAUUCACAUACCUCAGCCUCCUGUGUAGCUGGGACUACAGGUGCCUGACACCAUGCCUGCUAGAGUAAUUUUAAUGUAUCUGAUUUUACAUGCGUUUACACAAAAUAUGGCCUCUCUAGGACACUGUAUUUCUGCUGCAUGCUGUUGCCGCUUUUGUGUCUCAGGUUUCCUGCCCGAGCCCUCUGAGCAUUUGAAUGAACUGUGAGCAGUCUACUUCAGCCUCCUCUCCUUACACAUGAAGACACUGAGGCCCAUUCAGGGCAAGUGGCAGGUCCCUGUUCUCAGAAUUAGGGCCGAGCAGGUAUUAAAACCUGUGUGUUCUCAUUCACUGUGUGCCCAGGGAGAUGAAAACACCCUGGCGUGAGAGGAAGCUUCCAGGUAGAAUGUGGGCACAGAAAUGGACCAGGAUGGAGUGUACCUCCCACACCUUUUCCCUGAAUGGCAGCACUCACAAGACUGACAUACCCUCCCUUCCGAGUGGGCGGUUUUUCUCCCCAGGCAGCCCUGCCAACCCUUUCACUUUCGGCCAGUUUGCUUAGAGUCCUUAGGCUGAGGCAGAUAAAACCCAUCACCCUACUUGGAUGGCAGAGCCCUUAGCAGGCUGGGGUUUUCAUGGGCUGCCUUCUUACAGGUCUAGGUGGCCUUCUGGCAUGGUGCCAGGGAGAGCAAGCCUCUUCCAGCCCUUAUCAAACUAACUGGCUGCUUCCUAGUAGGGAACAGCCACCAGCUUGUUUCAGAGAAGAAUCAUUGCUCAGCUGACUCAGAGGAGAAAACUGGUUCUGUUGGGAAGGCUUAGACCUUUAUCCAGUGGAAUUGGAAAGGCAAAGGAUUUCAGUACUAACAUGACUUUUUCUCCACUUCUUCUUUUGGAGGGUUUAAUUAAAGUCAUGCAUUGUUAAUGGCUUCUCAUCUCUUCUUCCAGAGAGUUAAGAAUUAAAGUUUAGAAUCCAGGAGUGGGGACCCAGACUCUGGCUUCUGUUAGCUCCCUCAGUGGCAGUGGCCCCCCGAUAUGUGCAGCCCCUCUGCUUGACUCCAGAUGGUCCCUUAUGGGUUGCAGGAGAGACAUUAACUAACCACACUGACGACCAAGUGAGGUAAGUGGCGUCAAGAACUUGAGGCUGGCGAGGACGACUUAACCUUCUAGCAAGCUGGGCUAGACUUGGGGAAGCUUUCCUGAGCUGAAGGGAGGUUGACUGGGGUUCCCUGGAGUGGCGGUGGGUAGAGGCGGGGCCGAGGGGUGGUAGCUAUGGGAGGGUGAGAGAGAGUAUUCCAGAAGAGAUAACAGCUUAAGCAGGGCCUCUCUAUUGUGGAAGGUGGUUUCCGGAUCACCGCGGGACACCUGUGUGAGGGCUCAUAGGGAGGGGUUUGUGGAUACUGGCAAUUAGAAGUUGAUAAGGAAAAGUGUGGCCGAAAUGAAAAGCAGAAAAGAAUCUCAUCGAAUCCCCUCAAUUUACAGGAUUUGGACUCUUAGUAAUGACUGUCCUUAAACACUCACUCCUGACCUUACAGCCCUCGCUGUUUCCUGGUUAACAGGGCCCAGGUGUUGGCUACACGUGUCAUCACCGAGAGCCCUUGUGUGCAGAUCUGCCCCCAGCUCUGCCACCUGUGACUGAGGUUGGUCAGUCCCACGGUGGGCCGCAGAGCCUAGCACUGGUGUCAGAGUCGCUUGUUGCAGGUUCAUCUUCAGCGUCUUUCCCACGCCACAGCCAUGCUGGAGAAAAACGGCAGAGGCGCUAGAGGAGAACAAAGCAAGCUGCCCCAGACCACCUGGCCUUCGCAGAGCCCAGAUCACGCUCCUCUCUCUGCCCAAGUAUAACGUGUUGUGUAGUCAGUAUGAUCCCCCUUCAGUGCAGAAGUAUUGCCUGGGAAUUCCCUGCCCCACCCACCCUGUUUUGUUCUUAAUGAAGUUCAAGAACAAAAUGAGACGAUAAUCAAGUUAUGGAGCAGGCUGCAGUGGGUGCAGGCGCAGGAUCACAGCCUUUGGAGUUAGAUCUGAGAUCUGCCUUUAUUGGUUGUGUGUCUGCAGACAAGUUAUUUAGCCUCAUUAAGGAUAAGUUUCUUCUGCAAAAAUUGGAAUAAUUCCUGCUCCAUACGACUGCUGUGAGAACGAAAUACCACAACUUUUGAUGUUCAAAUUCUAUUUUUUACUUCUCCUUCUAGUGACACAUACUGUUAUUGCCAGGAACCAUAAAAAUUAUAAGCCUGUAUCUAGAGGCCUGAAGAAUUGGUCGGGAACCUAAAAGAUAGUUUCUGUUCUGUCUCUUUUCUCUUGGUUAUGGUAUCAGAGGAAAUACACAUAUUUUUCUUAGCUUCAAACAACCGAAAAAGAUGAUGCAGUAAGGAGAUGGGAAAUCUAAUUUGGAAUAUGGUGCGCAAAUCUUAUUUUCAAGCAGAUUUUGAAAAUAAAAUGCAAUUCUUUUAUGUUAGAGGAUCGUCUCCUUGAUAAAAUUAUGGGGUACCAGUUUUUAAAGUCACAUCAGAGUUUAAGAUUGCAAAUUGACGGGGUCAUAUUUGAAUGUUCUGAUAGUUAUAUGUGGGGUGGGAAGGAGGAACGCAUGCUAUUCUCAAAUAAGACGCAUGGAAGAGUUGCCCUAGGCAGGUGAGGCUCACCUUUGUGUAGGCUAGAGCUUCAUUCCAUCCACACGCAGAUAGGGUGCUUGUGACCUGAUGAAGUAAGGUAAUAUACCUGGAAACUUUGUAUACUGUGAAAUACUGUGCAAAUGCAAGGUAGUUCGAAUGUAAAUAUUAAUGCAUUUUCAUAAUAAUUUUGCCAUUUCAUCAUAUAUAUAAUUUGUAGUGACUGGCUGUGAAUUUAAAUAGAAUUAACCUAGAAUUAAUGAGCUUUGUAUUACUCUCAUCUAUUUGAAGCAUCAGCUGUGACGUUCAUGUUACUUUGCACAGCCCUGUGUAACCUCCUCUAUGCCUUUCCCAAGGAGCACUGUGUCAUAUCACAAGUAGAACUGGAAGAAGACAUUUCUCCUCAGGGCAGAGGCUGGGUCUUCUGAUUGAAUCUCUCUUCUUUCUUCAGUGAGAUCCUCUUCUUCUGGAAGCUGGUUUCACAUGGUGGCUUAGAUUUUUCCAUCUUUGUAUCUAGCACCAUUUGAAAUCAGUGUUUUAGGAGUAAGAAUUGCAGCACAGCCAAGGGUGGACUGCAGAGGAACUGCUGCUCAUGGGACUGGCUCCUCCUCUCCUGCCACUUGAGUCUGUUCAAGAAGUCCAGGGAAGAACUUGAAGAGCAAAAUAUACUCUUGAGUUUGUUGGGUUUUGGGAGGGGCGACAGUAGGGGAGGGGGUUGUGUUUAAAAUAAACACAGUGGUUUGCUCAGGGGCAGAGGUUGUGAUGCUAUUUAUUUUGACUCCUAGCAGCUGUCACCAGCACGAAUGUGUUGGUAGGCCCUUUGGGUGUGUUGAUUGUCAUAUUCCGUUGGGUAACAAUGUAUCGAGUAUUGUCAUGGGGCAAAGGAGAGGGCAGUACACCUGGAAACCAUUUCAUCCACAUCGGCACUGUCAGCCCACUCAUAGAGGAUGCCCUGGAGUAUUCAGCAUCCAUUGCAGGGCACCCGAAAUCAGACUUGCCACCUGUACUGUCGAGGUGCAGACCCUGGGAGCACCACUGGCCCAUCUCUUACACAGGCUGACCGAUUUCUCCUGGUGUUCAGAGUCUGUUUUUGUCUAGCACCAUUUGAAAUCGGUUAUGAUGUAGGGGGAAAAGCAGCAGCCUCGAAGCCUCAUGCCAAGUCUGGCCAGCAGCAGCCUGUGGUUUCCUGGAAGAUGGAUGGGCAGAGAAUGGGGAAGGAAGAUCACGCUUUUCCCUACUAAUUUCUUUAACUGCAUGUAUGAUACAUUAUUGCAGAGGUAAGAGAUAGUUUAAUGGAUUUUUAAAAACAAAUUACUGUAAUUUAUCUGAUGUUCUCAGUUGCAUUUUGCCGAAAUGUAGUACUGCUAUAAAUUCUAUAAAUUGGUUGCUGUUGAAUUACCUUUCUAUUGAGAAGUCUGUUCAUGCAUCCUGACCUUAAUAAAUACUAUGUUCAGUUUAUCA